AUGCUUUCUGGUAUUUUUGGCCUUGGUUUGAGGAACCUGUAUAGGGUUCAAUGUGCACGCAUAUGGAGGCAGCUCAAUUGUAACCUUCGGUUUGCCAACAACGUCUUUGUCAUCUAUUGCACAUUUUACAAGCUACAGCUCGUAUGGUUCCAGGCAGAUGUGUCCUCAUCAACGAUGCACUUAACACAUUUUGCGAGAAGCCGCUGUUACAAUAAUCCCGUGCAACACAAAAGGGCCGUGGAGGCGUGACAGUGAGCGCAGCAGACAACCGUGACUGUUAUCUAACCCAGCAUUAUGUCUUCAGCCUGAGAAACUCAAACCCUCGCUCACACACACUGAGAUGCAGAAGGAGCGUCAGAUCUGCAGCUUCUCUCAGGUGUGUGUUCAAGCAACCUUCUUUUCUCUUCUUCACACCAGAAAUACUAUGAGUCAGUAGAAUUCACUCUAUAUUUAUUGAUUACUCUUGCAUGGAUUAUUCACCCUCAAGCCAUUUAAGUUUGUUUCUUCAUCAGGUUUGUAGAAAUGUAGCAUUGCAUCAGUGUCUCAUCAAUGGAUGCUCUGCAGUGAAUGGGUGCCAUCAGAAUGAGAGUCUGAUAAAAACAUCCCAAUAAUCCACAGCACUUCAGUCCAUCAGUGAACAUCUGGAUAUCAAUGCUACUAAAAUAACUCACAAAUAACUAUAAAAUUAUAUUAGAUUUUUUUUUAAUUAAAUCUAAAUACAAAUAUUGCUCCGGUGUGACUUUUUCUAUGUCUCAUACCUUCUAAAAUCCACGCUUUAUUCCUUUCCCCCUUUUUUCAGAAUGGUUUGGUCAAACUUCCUGUCUGUCUCUCAUGAGGCAGGAAGUGCCUGUUAACUAGCUCUUAAAUGCCUGAUUCUGUGUAAAUGUGGCCUGGUUUCACAUGCAGUACAUGCAAACAAAGAACUUACGGGAAAUGAUAAAACACAGAGGAUCUCAGAGGAGGUUUAAUACACAACUACAGCCUGAGCCUCAGCAAAACAUCAAAAGUAGUUUCUUAAUGAUCAGCCACAUACUCUAUAUAUGUUACCUGAAAAAAAAUAUAUUUAAUCAAAAUACAUUAUUUUGAAUGGCUGUCAGUGGAAGAAGAUUAUUAUUAUUCUUUUUAUACAUCCAUAUUAAUAAGUUAUAACAUCUAUACCAGCAGGGAC
rnacentral:lncRNA from 1 species